UACGGAGGGGGCUAGCGUUGUUCGGAAUCACUGGGCUUAAAGGGCGCGUAGGCGGGCCCGCCAGUCUGUGGUGAAAGCCCCCGGCUCAACCGGGGAAGUGCCGUGGAUACUGCGGGUCUCGAGGGAGGUAGGGGCGUGUGGAACUUCCGGUGGAGCGGUGAAAUGCGUAGAUAUCGGAAGGAACGCCGGUGGCGAAAGCGACGCGCUGGACCUCUGCUGACGCUGAGGCGCGAAAGCCAGGGGAGCAAACGGG
rnacentral:rRNA from 1 species